rnacentral:rRNA from 1 species
CAGAACGAACGCUGGCGGCGUGCUUAACACAUGCAAGUCGAACGCGAAAGGGACUUCGGUCCUGAGUAAAGUGGCGCACGGGUGAGUAACGCGUAGAUAACCUGUCUUCAUGUCUGGAAUAAUACGCCGAAAGGGGUACUAAUACCGGAUAUUCUUGCUUUUCAUAAGUUAUGCAAGCAAAGGUGGCCUCUGCAUAUGCUACUGCAUGAAGAGGGGUCUGCGUACCAUUAGCUAGUAGGUGGGGUAAUGGCCUACCUAGGCGACGAUGGUUAGCGGGUCUGAGAGGAUGAUCCGCCACACUGGCACUGGAACACGGGCCAGACUCCUACGGGAGGCAGCAGUGAGGAAUAUUGCGCAAUGGGGAAACCCUGACGCAGCGACGCCGCGUGAGUGAGGAAGGCCUUCGGGUCGUAAAGCUCUGUCAAGAGGAAAGAAGUGUACAAUGGCUAAUACCUGUUGUAUUUGACGGUACCUCUAAAGGAAGCACCGGCUAACUCCGUGCCAGCCGCUGC